UAAUGAUGGCCAGGCUGUCUCCACCCGAGACUCAGUGAAAUUGAACUCGCUGUGAAGAUGCAGUGUACCCGCGGCAAGACGGAAAGACCCCGUGAACCUUUACUAUAGCUUGACACUGAACACUGGUCCUUGAUGUGUAGGAUAGGUGGGAGGCUUUGAAGUGUGGACGCCAGUCUGCAUGGAGCCAUCCUUGAAAUACCACCCUUUAAUGGCUGGUGUUCUAACGUGGGCCCCUAAUCGGGGUUGCGGACAGUGUCUGGUGGGUAGUUUGACUGGGGCGGUCUCCUCCCAAAGAGUAACGGAGGAGCACGAAGGUUAGCUAAUCCUGGUCGGACAUCAGGAGGUUAGUGCAAAGGCAUAAGCUAGCUUGACUGCGAGAGUGACGGCUCGAGCAGGUGCGAAAGCAGGUC
rnacentral:rRNA from 1 species